rnacentral:rRNA from 1 species
AUUGAACGCUGGCGGCAGGCCUAACACAUGCAAGUCGAGCGGCAGCACGGGUACUUGUACCUGGUGGCGAGCGGCGGACGGGUGAGUAAUGCCUAGGAAUCUGCCUGGUAGUGGGGAUAACGCUCGGAAACGGACGCUAAUACCGCAUACGUCCUACGGGAGAAAGCAGGGGACCUUCGGGCCUUGCGCUAUCAGAUGAGCCUAGGUCGGAUUAGCUAGUUGGUGAGGUAAUGGCUCACCAAGGCGACGAUCCGUAACUGGUCUGAGAGGAUGAUCAGUCACACUGGAACUGAGACACGGCCCAGACUCCUACGGGAGGCAGCAGUGGGGAAUAUUGGACAAUGGGCGAAAGCCUGAUCCAGCAAUGCCGCGUGAGUGAUGAAGG